rnacentral:rRNA from 1 species
AUUGAACGCUGGCGGCAGGCUUAACACAUGCAAGUCGAGCGGGGUGAUGGUGCUUGCACUAUCACUUAGCGGCGGACGGGUGAGUAAUGCUUAGGAAUCUGCCUAUUAGUGGGGGACAACAUCUCGAAAGGGAUGCUAAUACCGCAUACGUCCUACGGGAGAAAGCAGGGGAUCACUUGUGACCUUGCGCUAAUAGAAGAGCCUAAGUCGGAUUAGCUAGUUGGUGGGGUAAAGGCCUACCAAGGCGACGAUCUGUAGCGGGUCUGAGAGGAUGAUCCGGCACACUGGGACUGAGACACGGGCCAGACUCCUACGGGAGGCAGCAGUGGGGAAUAUUUGACAAUGGGGGGAACCCUGAUCCAGCCAUGCCGCGUGUGUGAAGAAGGCCUUAUGGUUGUAAAGCACUUUAAGCGAGGAGGAGGCUCUUUUGGUUAAUACCCAAGAUGAGUGGACGUUACUCGCAGAAUAAGCACCGGCUAACUCUGUGCCAGCCGCCGCGGUAA